UUGGUCAGGAAAUGAGGUAGAGGUUGAAGACGGAACUGGUGUCACCGGGUUAUUCUGGGGGAAGCUGUCCCUGGAAGGCCCCGUCAGCCCUUGUAAGGACGGCGGAGAGGGCCCAGUGGGACCUCUCACAGGGAUAGGCUGCCCGCUGCAGGCGAUGCCCGUGAUGCCAGCCAGGGGGCAUUUGGGGCCCUCUCUCCAAGGACGGCUGUCCAGGCGGGAGCCCUGUGCCCUCAGCGGGGAGCCGGGGAGGCUGUGCCUGCGUCUGUGUGAGCAGAGCUGACCCAGCACCUGCCCGAGUGCAGCCCAGAGUCCCAGACCUCACAGCCUGGCAGGGAAAGCUGGAAUCACAGCUGGAGACACAGCAGCCGUGUUGCAGCCAUGAGGACAAAGCCACGUGCCCAGGGCUGGGAGGCAGGAAGGCAGAAGGAGCUUGGGCCCCUGGAGGCACAGAGGUCCUGCCAUGCCAGCCCGAAACUGCCCACCUGAUAGAUAAAUGGACCACAUCUUCAAGUCGCAAUGGUAUGAUUUUCUGUGGCCUGCGUCCAACGAUCCCUCUAUGGCACGGCCGUCGGUGAGAAGCCACAGGACAACGUUAUGAUUCCUCCAGAUGAACCAGGGUCAGGCCACCCCCAAAUCACAAAGGCCUCAGGGGCAGAGGGUCCUUCUCCCCAGCAGCUCCCUGACUGAGGGGUUCCUCAGGGAAGACCAGAGGCAGCGAUCGCCACUCACGGUUGUAGGAAUGUCGACAUCUGGGCGGCGGGCAGAGCUGAGCUGUCGUCCGCAAGACCACCUGCCCGAGGGGGACAAGAGCGGGGCCCUGAGAGGGGCACCGUCUCCCUCCCCCAGGCGGAGGACCCAGCUCCAAGCACCAGGAAUGAGCCUGACACUUAGAGAACAUUCCAGAAAGAGCGGACCAGUUCUGUUCCAAUAGGUUCAUUCUUCCCUCCUGGGUAAUUUUGAGGGACAGCGCUUUGGGGAAGGAACCCGAGUCUAUGGCUCCCCGCAACCUUGAGUGCCUUUGCAAAGGCUGGGACAGCCAGGAGGUGCCCCCAGGACACGGCAGAAGCGGAUGGAGCUAGGAUGCGCUCAGGCCGACCGGAUCAGCUUCCCGCGGCCACGGCCCCGCGUCCCCACGUCCCCACAACCUGGGUUAUUUUCUCAGUCUGGAGGCUAGACGUCCAGUCUCACUGGGCCGAGAUCAAGGAGUCUGGGGGGCUCCGGUGCUCCUGGGCCGUGGCUCUGUGGUCACACGACCUCUCCCGUCUGUGUCACAUCUCACCCAUCCCCCUCUGCCUGUCUCUUAAAAGGACACAGGUGAUGGAAUUCGGGGCCCACGGGAUAACCCAGGGAGGCCACCUCGUCUCAAAGCCCUGAAGUCAAUCACAUCCGCAAAGACUGUUUCUUCCAAUGAGGUCGUGUUGAUGGUCUCCAGGGAUUCGGAGGCGACUACCUUCGGAGGAGUCAUUACUCAGCUGCCCACGGUGACGCUGCCUCUCGGAGGGCUGGGUUGCAGACCCCGAGCAGGGGUGGUGGGCCCAGAGCAGCCCCCUACACCCUGGGCUUCCUGGGACUCCCCGUGCCUGGCCGCGGGCCGAAACUGCCCCUUGCAGAACAUCGCCAGCGUGGACCGAGGCCCUGGGCGCCUCCAGCCCCGAUUCCGGAAGCAAGAGGACGGGAUGGAAAGCAAGCCCCGGGUCCCCAUCUGCCCCACUCCGUAGCUUUGGGCCGGUUUUUCCUUUCUGAACUUCUCUGAACACUAAUUUCCUCGUAUAGUGUACGAACACCCACCCCGUGGGAUUUGAACGGAACGGUUAGGCACCUAGUGGGCACGGACGCUCGGGGUAGCCGUGAUGGGUGCGGCCGGGGCCAGCGUCACGAUCCCGUACCAUUUCAAGCUAUGCCCGCAUUGCUUGGCACAGGAAGGGUCCACGCUGACUCGGGGCGCUGAGCCCCCCUCUCCCAGGAGGCGUCUCACCCCGUGAGGCCGUGACCUCAGUGGGCGGGCUCCCCUGCUCCCCAGCAGAGCUGAGGACACGGCCAGGGCCUUCCGGGCAGCCGACGUGAGAAAAGCCACCUCUGCUGGUGUGCUCACACCAACCUGGGCACCCAGCUGCUCAGAGCAGGUAGCCCCAGGUCCCGCCUUCCUGCCUGGGUCUCCCGUCCUCCGGCCCCGUGCCUGGGUGCCCCCAGCUGGCCCGCCUCUUGGCCUUCCUCUCUGUCCCCUGGCGGGGCUUACCCUCCGACUCGGCCACAGUGGCUUCCCUGGCUGGCCUCAGGCCAGGGUUGAACCUUCUCUUCUGUCCGUGCCCCCGCGUGGCCCUCUGCCGCAGACAGCCUGCGACCCUGGAGCUGGCUCCAGAGCCCGCCUUUGACUGGUCCCCCUCGCGAGCAGCCCCAGCAACGCCAGCAGGGCCAGCAGGCCCGAGAGACCCUCCUCAAGGGGGAUCCUCCCGAGCGCCCGGUUUCUUGGCUAUCACAGAACUCGGCUCUGAGUUUUAUCUGACUCUGGAGGUCACCUCGACCUGUCCCCUGCUUGCUGCAUGAGGGUGCCCUACCUGGGGACUUGGAAUCAGAUGCAUGGGGACACCCCAGCUCUCCUUCCCGACGCCCCCAGGAACCUUCGGAAGCUAUCCACACACACAGGUGUGCACAGACGUGCACACGAGCACACGUACCCGGUCCCACCUGGGACAAUGGUCUCUGCAGCGGGGACAAAGCGACUGCUGGCCUGCACAGUGUGCCCUCCUUUGUAACGUUAUUUACCCAUGAACCAUGCUUCCCAGGUCCUAUGGAAAUGCAUUCUCUGAGCCAGUCAUCUCCUCGGCCAUCUAUACAGUUGUUGAUCUACUGCGCGGGUUUUUGCUAAUAGAGCAAAGGAAAUUCAGCACUCCUUGGCCAAAGGAUCCUCGGGCGUGGGGCUCGAACCCAUGAACCAUGAGAUCAUGACCUGAGCAGAAACCAGGAGUUGGAUGCUUAACCAACUGAGCCACCGGGCGCCCCGCCCCGGGGCUCUUUUAACCUGGGGGCUCUGAUGCAGCGGGUGGGGGCAGAGCCCGGAGUUUGCGUUUCCAGCAAAUUCCCAGCCGCUGGCCCAGAACACCCCUCCCGUAGCCCCGCGUGGAGACGGUGUCUUGUGUCCAUUUGGAAAUUGGCUAAUUCAGGCAUAGGUGAGCCCUACGCACAGGGCACGUUCCCGGCAGGGUGGGUUGAGCCAGGUCUCACCUUCGAGCACGGCACGCAGGCCUGGUGCAGACAAGUGCUACUAAAUAUCAGCUCAAGGGACGUCGGUGUUGGUGGCAUUGGAGUUGGGUGUCCCGAGGCCAAGGUGACCCCUCGCCGGUCAGAAGGGCAUCCCCAGGCACACUACGGGUGAGCAGUGGAGAGGGGACCCUUGCCCCUGGGGCUCCUCCCCCAGCAGUGUCAGGGGACGAGAUGGACCCUAUCCCUGCCCUUUCCCGGAAGAGGAAGCUGGCCUGAGCAGACCACACAGCCAGACACACACACACCAGUUCCCCCCGACUAUUCCCGGAGUAGACGGAGAGCUGUGUCGCGAAUGUCCAUCUGCCAGACCCGCUGGCCACGUCUCCUUGCAGACACAGAGUUCAGGGAAAAGCAAAACCCACGCUGAUUCUCCACCACUGAGGCAGGGCCCGGGAACGCCGGGUCUGCCUUGCCUGUUUCUCUGAGAGGCUGGCAAGGAAGGAAGCCAGGUCAGUCCACGGCCCAACGGCACCACCUCUCCGGGCCCAGGAUCUGGCCGGGGUUAAGGGACCGCUUGUGCCUGCCUCAGUUUCCUAUUCUGUCGUGUGGGAAUCAUUGUACCACCCACCACCCAGGCUUGUUCUCAGGGUCGGACGUAGCGACGUAUUGCCCGUAACGCAGGAGAAUCUAGCAGAGGCCAAAACAGACAUGGACCCCCGCCCUCCAAGUUGGCGCUCCCCACGCUGGUGAUGAGUGCAGGUCCCCUGGCCCCACCCCUGCUGCGUGGGAAAGUGUGCAUUUUUACGAAGCACCCGGACGAUUUGUAUGAUAAGGGAAUUUCGGGAAAUGCUGUCCCGACUCAGCCAGCCAGAGGAAAAGUAGAGCUUGAUGUAUCCAGCAGCCUGGACUGAGCACAAAACAAGACAAGGUGCUGGGCAUUUUGAGGGUGAGUGGUCUCCUAUGGGGAUAAGACGGCACUCAGACGCCAGGAGGCAGGUGUCCUGGGCCCCCUUCCCAGCAGGCCCAGAGGACAGCAGAGGUCCAAGGCUAACAUGUGCAUACAGAUGGGCAGAUUGCUUUCAGGCCGUCUGAAGGGAGCAGCGAAGGGAAAAUGGGCCUUGAACUCGGGCGGACCUUUGUUUAAAACCUGUCACUCGCAGCUGUGUGGCAAAUCCAGGACCUCUCGUGGCUCCAAGUGGGGUCCUCUGGUAAGCAGCAUCCGCAUCACGGGGGGCUUGUUAGAAACGCAGGAUCCCAGGCUCUGCCCCAGACCGCCGGAAUUAGCUUCUGCGUUUUGGCAAGCUCUCUGGGGGGUCCUGGGCCCUUGAGAGUUUGGUAAGCUUUGUCUUCGCCUCCUGGAACCUCGAUGUCCUCAUUCGCCAAAUGGGAGAACACAGCAUAUCAUUAAGGAUCCUCGUGGCUCCCACUAACACAAAGGUCACUCAAAAUAGCAUAAACAGCCGGGAAAUGUGAUGGCCGCUGAACCUGGCAGCCCAGGGUCAGGCAGGUGUCAGGGUCAAUGUAGCUCGGUUCACUCCGCAGGCCCCUCUGGAGGUGUCCUGGCAAUGCCCUGCUCUGCCUGUGGUUUUAUGCUUCGCCUGGGAGCAAGCUGCUGUCACAUUUUUUAUUGUGAAGUUUGUCUUCUCCUUUUAACAUCCACAGGAUCUGCAGUGAUAGUCUCUCUUUUUUUAAAAAAAAACAUUUUAUUGUUUAUUUUU